rnacentral:rRNA from 1 species
GAUGAACGCUGCCAGAAUGCUUAACACAUGCAAGUCCACUUGAACUUCGGUUUGGGUGGCGGACGGGUGAGUAACGCGUAAAGAACUUGCCUCACAGAUAGGGACAACAUUUGGAAACGAAUGCUAAUACCUGAUAUUAUGAUUAUAUGGCAUCGUAUAAUUAUGAAAGCUAUAUGCGCUGUGAGAGAGCUUUGCGUCCCAUUAGCUAGUUGGAGAGGUAACGGCUCACCAAGGCGAUGAUGGGUAGCCGGCCUGAGAGGGUGAUCGGCCACAAGGGGACUGAGACACGGCCCUUACUCCUACGGGAGGCAGCAGUGGGGAAUAUUGGACAAUGGACCAAGAGUCUGAUCCAGCAAUUCUGUGUGCACGAUGAAGUUUUUCGGAAUGUAAAGUGCUUUCAGUUGGGAAGAAAAAAAUGACGGUACCAACAGAAGAAGUGACGGCUAAAUACGUG